rnacentral:rRNA from 1 species
CGAACGCUGGCGGCGUGCUUAACACAUGCAAGUCGAACGGUGAAGUUCCUUCGGGAAUGGAUUAGUGGCGAACGGGUGAGGAGCACGUGAGAAACCUGCCUUUCAUUUUGGGAUAACUACGGGAAACCGGGGCUAACACCGAAUACUCCAUCUCGGCGGCAUCGCUGAGCUGGGAAAAAAAUUUUGAUGAAAGAUGGUCUCGCGGCCUAUCAGCUAGUUGGUGAGGUAAUGGCUCACCAAGGCAACGACGGGUAGCCGGCCUGAGAGGGCGACCGGCCACACUGGGACUGAGACACGGCCCAGACUCCUACGGGAGGCAGCAGUGGGGAAUAUUGGGCAAUGGGCGCAAGCCUGACCCAGCGACGCCGCGUGAGGGAUGAAGGCCUUCGGGUUGGUAAACCUCUUUCAGUAGGGAAGAAGCGAAAGUGACGGUACCUAAAGAAGAAGC